AUUUUUGACAUAAAAGCAAGAUGGCAGUAAUUUUGAGUGGCGUGAAUUAUUUUUUGGCUCAAUUUGUGUGAAAAAAAGUAGUUUGGAAGGAAGGAAAAGUGCAAAAAGGCAGCAUUACUGGCCCGUGGAGGUGGAUUGAGUGGAAAUUUGUGUAGAAAGGACCCACCUGAGCAUUCUUUUCAUUUUGUUUCCCCCGGAAGCUUGUCCAAGGAUUCACUUGCGAGUGGUGAGUAGUUUGGCUUUUUUUGUGUGUUGCUUUUUGCCUGAUAACAGAAGCAUCUUGUGCAGAAUUAAUGCUUUUCUGGACCUCUAAUCUGCCCAAAUGUAGUAUAUUUGUGUUUUUGCAUGCCACAAACAUUGCAAUUGAGUUUUCGGGAACAGCUGAUUGAGCCCCGCGGGCUCUCUGCUGGCCAAAAAAAAACCUUUUUUGCAAUUUGAGGGUGAGCGACAUUACUAUUGCUCAGAAGAUUUCCGCGUCUCUCCUCCUAACUUGACCCUGAGAAGCACCUAAAAAUUCUGUGUGGGGUCCUCUUGUGGAUUUUCAAUUCAAAGGAGAUCCCCUCUAAGGGGAGGAAGAAGCUGGAAAUAUUUCCUGUAAUGACGCGCGUCUUGAGUACUGAUUUCCAUGGAAAAUUGCACACGGUGCUCUAACAAGCCACACAGUAUCAAUGAAUUGACGAAAAUUCAUCAUUCCUUUCACGAUAAAAUUCCGCGUGAGUCAUAUUUUAGCAAAUAGAGAGUAAUGCUUUACAAAAUCAGUUGUGAUUUCUUUGCACAUUUAUACAGGAGAAAACACUCGCGUGCAAAAGUGGAAGGAAAGACGGGAAUAUUUUUAUCCCUUGGAGGAUUUUGCUGGCCAAAGAGGCCAAUUCGACUUUUUUUUCAACCGCCACUGAAUUAAAAUCUAUUUAAUAUUUUGUAAAAUAAUUUAUAUAAUUUUUUGGAAUUUCCUAUAAUAAAUUUAACAUUUUUUACUAAAUUUUUUGGAGAAAUUCUUCAAUCUUUCCUUGGAUUCUUAAAUUUUUGAUAACCAAAUUAAUAUUUUUUUAAAUAAAAAAAAUGAUUUAUUAUUUUCAUGGAACUUUCAUCAGGUCCUGAAUACAAAUAGGUAAAAAUGUUCUGAUAGAAUCGAAGCUUAACCCUUUAAGGUUUUUUGGGUCAUACGCUGACCCAAACUUGAAACAUUUUAUUUUUUCAAUUAUUUAUGACUGUAAUUGUUUUUCCAUGUUACAAAUGCAUCAAAUUCACGAAUAAGGGGUCAAAGAAGACGUUCUGAGUGAGAAAAGUCCUCUAAAAAAAUUCAUAGAAUAAAAAUCGCGAUAAAAGAGCGCAUGUUUCAAUGUUUUUAUGUUUCACGUUGGACGUUAAAGGGUUAAAAUCUAGACCUGACAAUUUUAAUCUAAAUUAUUGAUUGUAUCUGUCAUUAAAAUAAAAAACGGUCUGACCAUUAAAACUAUUUUUUUCCUAAAAUUUAAUUUAAAAAAACAUUUUGUACAUUUUGCAAGCAACUGUAUCAAUUUACUUAAAAAAGAUAUUUAAAGUAAAUUGCCAGCUACAAGUAAAUGUUGCGCGUGUCGCCCUAAAAAAAGGGAAAAGCAACAAAAACAUCCAAUUUGGAUGAAAAUUCAGGAAGAAUAGCAAUGAAAAUUAAUCAGUGGGAACAUUCCAUAUCCCUCCGCACCUAAAUGAGUGACUUGAUGAAAUUUCCCUUUGCACACAGACGUACCCCGUAAAGCUAUAAAGUAUAUUUUCUGCAGUGUAAUACCUCUGCUGCUGUACGAUUUUGCCAUUUAUACAAGAAAAGGAAAAUGCUGUGCUGUGAAAGAUCAUUCUCCGGGAUUAUUUUGCUCGAUUUUUUUUCUUCUCUCUCUCUCUGCCUGCGUCUUUUGCUCGUUUCCAAUUGUGUCCUAUGUAUGUGUGUUUCAUAGAGCACAAGAAUCGGGGGAGGGGGUUUAUUGUAAUGAAAUGUACAUAAAAUGACGAUUUAUAGUGAGUUGUGUGUAUGUGGGUGGCUUUUUUUUGCCCUCACGCGGCCACCCCCUCGUAGCUAUCUUCUACAGAGCGGUAAAAUGUCAUCUCUCGGGGUCCCCUUCAUUGCAUAUUCAUGCUCUUUCUAUGCUCUAUGUGCACAAACUCCAUACAUUGUGGAAUUAAUUCCAUUGAACUUAUUCCACCCCCUCACAUGGUUUGACUACCUUUGCAAAGCAUCAUAAAUUCACACAGAUGCAUUUUUUGAGGAAAGAUAAGGUCAUAAUUGUUGACUAACUAAUGAAAUAUCUUUCUUAAGUAAUUAAAUUAAAAAAUUGAAAUGUUAAUAAUAAUUCAAAAAGUCGAUCUGAGGCAUAAAUAAAAAAUAUUGCAAGGAUUUCCAUUAUUUUAAAUCUUUAAAUGUUUGAAAAAAAAAAAGGAAUUUUAAUUACUUAUGUUCUGAGAAAAUUAAUAAUUUUGCACAACAUAAAAAAAACAAUUUUUCAAUUCAAACCACAUGUAAAUUACAGAAAAAAAGAGAUAUUUGCACAGCACAGUAGUAAUUCAGGAGAUUCUCUCGCGCCUUGCAAAAGUGCACAAAUCAAUUAUAUUUCCUCGUACUUCACACAGCUCUAUUUCACUGCGAUUUAUGUGGGACGAUCCCUCCUGUGUAGUGCGCAUAAAGUGCUGUGGAACGCGAUUUAGGGGUUUUGUGGGUGAAUCAUUUGGUGGGUGGGAGUUUCACUUAUUUAUCAACAUAUUCAGCUGGAGCGCAAUUAGAGGGUAAUUCAGGGGAUGCUUUAUUCAUUGGAUUUCCUGCAGUUAUUCAUUUUGAUGGCUUUCGGAUAGGAGAAAAGCGCAAACGCACUCAGAACUGAAUAACUCCUGAAAGUUUUGCUGAUUUGAAAAUGUCAUGGUGAAAUUUUUGCUUUAUUGGUUUUAAGAAAAUGAGAUUUUAUUCCCUCUUAAACCCUCUUAUAUUGCUCUCUAUAUUUAUUAAAAAAAUAAAUGAAAUGAAAGAUGAAUUAAUACACAGGAAGGGAAUUUUAAGACAUUUUUGAUUUUUUUUGUGCAUUUUUUGGUAGAUUUUUUAAAGAAUUUCUCUUUAUUAAUCAAUCAAAAAUAUUAGUUUCAAGUUCUUUGUUAAUUUGGAUGAAUAAUUUAUUUAUUUUCCUCAUUUCAGUGGUGUAAACAACCAUCCCAGUUAGUCACCUCAUACACCACUAGUUAGUCACAAAUAUCCCGUCAUAAAUAUCACUUGAUUUUAUGUUAACUUUGGCGAUUUGUUAGAUUUUUUACACCAAUAAAAUUUUGUGAGGUGGUGCAAAAACGAAUCCAAUAUUUACUGACUGAGUGAUAGAUUUCGAGGAAUUUUCUCAAUUGAAGGGCUACAUGUGGUGUAUGUGAUCAAAUAGACAAAUAUUUGUGGUUGAAUUGGAAUUAUAGAGAAACUCUCUGUGUGCCCUUUUUUCCUCAAUAAAAUUCAACGCAAAUUGCCUUUUGUGUUUGGAGACGCUAUUUUCAUGUUCAAUUUUCCCCUCUUAUUGAGUAUACUUUCAUUCACAUAUUGGGGACUUUUAUGUAAUUGAAUUAGUUUUUUCCCCAUUUGGAUUUCAAGGAUAUAAAUGAAUGACAUUUUCUGGCCAAUAUAUCAGGGUUAUGAGCUUCGUUACUGGAUUUUUUUUGUAUGAGUGCUGAGAAAAAGCUUUUAAUUCAAUUGGGAAGAUUUUUUUCAUUGUUGAAUUGAUUUAAUAAGCUAAAAAAAAAUGAUUUUUUAACUUUCUCCUGUACUAUUGUCUGAUAAUAUACUGAUUUCGACGACCAAAUUUAGUUAUUUAUUUAUCCGCAAGAUGCGGAUGGAUUCAUUUCUCUCUAUUCCAUUGCAAGAAAUAAGAUUGAUGGCACUUCACAUGAUUUCAAGCCAACUGUCUUAAUCCUAACGUUUACCUAUCUAAGGUGCCGAAAGCUUUGGAUUUUUUCUUUCAAUUUCAUUUCGAUUUUUCAACGUUUUAUAGGAACGAAUAUUUUACAAAAAAAAUGCAAAAUUUGUCCACUAGUCUCUUAGGUAAAAGAAAAUUCGUGGUUGUGGUAGAGGUUGGGUGUUUUGUGAAAUUUAUUAUGCGCAUAGAGAAUGUCAUAAAUGUAUCAACGGUGAAGGCUUAUAUGUCAUCAGAAUGUUAUUUUUCUCUAAUGUUAAAUAUUAAAAGGAAGAAUUUAAUAGCAGUGGAAUGACUGAGAGGUGUUUACGUACUGAAGUUGAAGGAGCUCCUUCAUCUUACCCAUAUAGCUUGGGUGCAAGUUGGAGGGAGAUGGGGUGUGUGUAUGUGCGCGCGAGAUUGAAUGAAUGAGGAGAGAUAUUGAGUUGAUAUAUGGGGUCUUGGGUCUCGUAUAAAAUUCAAUUUUUCAUCUUCAUUUUCCCACAACCACUUCUCAAUACACACGACCAUUUCCACGUGUUUGAAUGACUUUUUUUUCUCUCUCUCUUUCUCUCCCUCUCUCUUUUAAAAUUGCUUGUGUUUUUUGCUCUUGAGUCCAAAAGCAAAGUGAUAUGGAAAUGACUUCUUUUCGUAUAGUAUAAAUAAAUUGAUUGUGGUGGCUAUGCUGCGAAAUUUUUGUGUCCUCAACCAUGAGACAGAUUUACAUCUUUUUAAUAAGAAUUAAUGUGUCAACCAUUAAAAAUUACACACAGAUAGUCAAGUUGAAAUUCCUUUCUUUUUUUUUGUACUCAAUUUUAUUUCUCUUAUGGAAUUAACAAAGUAAAAGAAAAUGUAGAGCAAUGAUGGAAGAAAAGUUUAUUGUUUGAAUAACAUUGUAAUUUAGUUGUGUGAACAUUGUUCCUUUUUUUGGGGACUGCACCAUUUUCAAUUUCACAAAAGGAAAAUACAAAUUCUACCUACAUUGUUGCAUAUUUCUUUAUUUUCUCUGCAACAGAAUUAAGAGUUUGCCGUAAAGGAGGAAGAGAAGGUAUACCCAUAAAGUUUGUUCGGAAAAUUCUAUGAAUUGCAUAUUGUUUGGGGUGAAGGGGAGAGUCGUGCGCAUGCAGAUUUUUUAGAAGUGUUUGUGUUUAAAAAGACACAUUUUGUACAAUAUUUAUGUUUUGAUAAAUAUCACAUUCUAUUGAGAUAAGUGGCUUUAUUCUAAUUUAAUUGGACGCUUUUCUUAUUAAAAUUUUCUUAGAUUUUCACGAUUUAUGAACGUUUAAUUGAAUAAGAAGAAGUAUUUGUGUUUUAAAGAAGAGCUUUGAUUGAUUGAUGAAUUCGGACUACGUGUUUCAAUUGGCUAUCGCUCAUUUUCAGGGUGGAGCCUUAAUGCAAGGCUAUUUUGAAUAGAACUAAUUUUUUACAUCACAGCCCAAAAAAAUUUAAUCAGCGCAUGACUCCGUGCUGAGAAAAUUUAAAUUGCAGGCAAAAGCGCACAGAGCUUUUUAAUUUGAGUGAAAAAUGCAAUACAAACUGCUUUUCAUCUAAUUGACCACAUUCAUGACGUUUUAAACAUCAUAAUAAUCUAUAUAUCGUGAUACACUCAAUGCACAUUUUUCCUUCUCUCAUUGCCCAAGCAUAUUUUCCUUUGGAUUUUUUUUUUCUUCACAAUUCUCUGCAGCAGGAAAAAUGAAACACACAUAAUUGGUGUACGAUUGCAAUUACAUUUUACUGGGUGUAUUGAAUUGCUGUAUCGUGUGUCUUUUAAUAUGUGAUUAAAGUGCCAUGAAAGAAUGUUGGGUGGUUUGUCUGCCUGACUAUGUAUGUGUUAUAUGUAGUGUGUACUAUGUAUGGAAAAUCAACGAUAAAAAAUAAGAUUUGAAUGGCGAUUCGAGGGUACUUUUCAUCGCCCACUUUCCAUCGACUUUUCACUUUACCCCAAAAAGCAAUUUUUGUUCAUCAGGUGAGUCACACAGGUGUACAGUUUGAUUAGUUCAAAAGCGUGCAACUCGAUGUUUGCAAAGACAGGAAAAAAGGGGGUGGAAAAGUAAUUUCAUUGACCCCUUUUUUCCAAGCAGACUUAAACUGGGGAGUUUCCCAUUUCCAUCCCACGAAUUGAUAUAUAAAUGUUUUAUUUAGUGCGGGGUGUAUUUGCGAUAUAAUUUUCCAGAGUUUUUCUCGGAAAAACCAACCAUUUUAUUACGUAUGGAAAUUUUUUUUAGAUAAUGUAACAGGGUUGUGUAAGAAUGAAAAUUUUUAAGGAGAAAAUUCUUAAAAUAUGAGCAAAAUAGAAAAUUUUAAUCCAUUUAGCAGAAAAUUUAUUUAUUUUUGCGCUUAAAAGCUAAAGUGCAAUUGACGUCAAACGUGUCAAAAGUACGAGGGGGGAUUCGCAUAUAAUACAAUUUAGAGAUAAGGGAAAUAUUUUACAGCUGACUUUUGUAUGGAAUGUGUUAAGAUAAAGUAAAAUCUUAUACUGUGAAAAUUUUCCUAUAAAGUAUAUUAAAAAACACCCACAAGAGAUCAUCGAUAGAGAAGAAGAUUUGAUGACGUUAAUAAAUUAAGAAAUGACUUAAUUUUCUCAAGAUUUAUUCAAGCUUUCUAACAAAUCGAAUGCUUUUUUUCUGCAAAUUGACAUGAGUUCCAAGAAAUAAUUAAAGCUCAUUCGUGACAAACCCUGUCUAGUUGAAGGAAAAUUGCAGCAAGAGAAAAGUCUGUGAAUAAAGUACGAGAAAAAAUGUACAAGAUGCAAUAAGAAGAAAAAGGAAAAAGAAGAGAAUGACGAGUUGAGUAAAAUACAAAAAUCAAUCACUUUUGGGAUCAUUCACCCUUAUUUGAAAAUGGUUGUAUAUGUAUAUGUAUUUCGUAAUGAGAAAUGAUGCGAAGGAGAAAAAUUAUCAAUAUAUAUUUUUUCACGUUAUCUUCAUUCGUCUCAUCUAUCUUUGUCGUAUUGUAUGCUGUCUUUUGAUGUCAUUUAUGUCGUUUCUUCCGUUAAAGGGUUAUAUACCUUUGGGACAUGAUAAGAUGUGGUUGAAACGUAAAGCAAAAAGAACGUCUAACGUUUAAAAUUAAUCGUCAAGAAUAGGAAAAGAAACGUCUUACGUUAGAAAUAAAAUGUAAUACGUUAUAGAAAUAAUUUCUAACGUGAGAAAAGUAUAAUUUCGCAUAAGAAAAUAAAUAUCAAACAGAAAGGCAUGAAGAAAAUUUACUAAAGAGAAUCUUUUUUUUAAUUAUUCUAAAAGAUUCUUUUUCUUCCUCUAAAAACGCAUAAACCCCUUAAACUUUUCUCUACGGUUGAUUUUUUUUCUUGUCUCAUCUGUGGAUAUUGGAAAAAUAUGCAAUGCUGCGUCUCUUUUCACAUGUUCUUCCAUAUAUAUUUAUUCAAUUCUUAUGGAUGAGAUUUUCUGUCUUUUUGAAUUCCCUCUUCUAUGAAGUUUUUUUUUUUCAACUCAUUUUCUUUUCUCUUUUGUAUGGUAUGUUUGUAACAUAAAUUAUCUUUUACUCGCCUCGUGUAAUCGUUUGUAAUACGCACUUGAAUCUCGUGUAAUUACACCAAAGAGUUGAGAAUACUGAUAGAGGAGGCAUUUAUUGUGCAUUGGCCUGUUUCUAAAACGGUUAUAUGUUGAAAAAUAAAAAAUAAAAAAAGCAGUAGCAUGCAGUCUGUAUGAUGGUUUUGUAUUCUAUGCGCGCGCGGGAUCUCUAUUAAUAAGGAAAAUGUGUGCGCGCGCGCACAGAUUAGUGAUCAAAAUGCGAGAACUUGGGUUAUGAUCUCUCCCAUAAAGUAAAAUCUUUCUCUGUGAUUCUUUCGCAUUUCUCUCACAUACAGUAUGUACUGAAAAGUCUUAUUCUUGUGUUCUUGGGGGCAACUUUCUUGAGUGAUGCUGCGUACUCAGACUCUCUCUCUCUCUCUGUGUGAAGUAUCUCUCUGAGGCUCCCCCAUUUAAAAUUUAUUGAUAGUGCCAAGACGUUCAAAGUCUAAGAGAGAAAGAGUGGAGUUUUCUUUUCUCAACACUCAAAGGAGUACGCGCGAGAGGCUUUACGAUUCAUUUCAGUUUGUGAUGUCUUAGUAAUCUCAAGACUACCCAUUUGUGCUUGCACAUAGAACUUUUCUUUUUCCCCAUCUGAUUGUGCGUUGAGUGUUCUAAUGCCUGGGGAUUGUGGGCUAUCUUUAAGGAGGCAGGAUGUGCGCUUAAGAGUUUAAGCGAGUGAUGAAAUAUCAAGGAUUUUAGGAGAAUAUUGAAAAAGUUUUUCCAAGGCUUUUCCUGGCAUACAAUUUAAAAGAAAAUCUUUUCCUCAAGAGGAAAGGAGGAAGAGCAAAGAAAAAAAAAGAACGAGAAAAACUUCAGCUGGAGAAAAGUGUGAAGAAGUGAAGAAAUGUGUUGUUUAUAGGAAAAAGAGGGAAAGUCUUUCAAAAAAUUUUUCCUGCUGUGUGUCUCACAUUUCUUUUAUAUGGGUGUAUAUUGAAAGAAAAUCCAACGAAUUGGAUGAAACCUCGGUGACUGGUGUGGUGUGUAGAACUGAUAAAAGUCGAUGGUGUACAAUUUUGAAGUGUGUGGUGGAUGGAAAACAGGGGGGCGAGGAGAGAAAAAUGAGGGAAAAAAAGAAUGAUUGAAAUAACGAGAAAUCAUAAAGAAUUCUCUCUCUCUUUUUACCUUCUUCUUCAUCAAUCCGGUCGCUAAAUGCGGAAAAGUUGUGGGCACAACUUUAUACUCUUAUACAUUGAAUUUAAAACUCGAAUGUGCAAUUGCAUCAAAGUUGAGAUUUAUAUUUUUCUUUUAUCUUCACCGUUUACAUAAAAUGUGGGGUUUUCUUAUAUUGCGAUGAGUGAUACACACAUAAGUAUUUAAUUGUACAUAAAAUGGUGAAUUGUGUGUGGCAGCAAUUUGUGGCGGAUAAAUUGAGGAAUAAGCGCGCGCCAGAGGAGUUUUAAUGCAAAGACAGACAAGACAGUGAUUGUUGAAAAGAAAAUUCAUCGAAAAUGGCCAAUAGAAGUGAGAAUUGCAAUUACUUCACUGAAGAUUUGAAUUUUGGUUCAAAUCGCUUCCUGUUUAAUUCCCAAUUUGCACUCCCGAGACAAUUUCGUGGUGAGAGACAUCCAGUUUACGUGACGACAACAAUGGAGACGGAUGAUGUGGAAUCGUCCAGUAGUAGUACGAUGUCGAGCCUCAACAGUCUCUUCUCAUUCACGAGUCCGGCUGUUAAGAAGCUCCUGGGCUGGAAGCAGGGGGAUGAGGAGGAGAAGUGGGCCGAAAAGGCUGUCGAUAGUUUGGUGAAAAAGCUAAAGAAGCGCAAGGGUGCCAUUGAGGAGCUCGAAAGGGCUCUUUCGUGUCCUGGACAACCAUCAAAAUGUGUCACAAUUCCACGAUCUCUCGAUGGACGUUUGCAGGUAUCACAUCGCAAAGGACUCCCACAUGUUAUCUACUGCCGUGUCUGGCGAUGGCCAGAUUUGCAGAGCCAUCAUGAACUGAAGCCACUUGAGACGUGUCAGUAUCCAUUCAGUGCAAAGCAAAAGGAAGUUUGUAUAAAUCCGUAUCACUACAAACGCGUGGAGAGUCCCGUCUUGCCGCCUGUCCUUGUGCCGAGGCAUUCGGAAUUUGCACCAGGGCACUCAAUGUUGCCAUUUCAGUCGAUGGCGGAGCCCACAAUGCCACACAAUGUGAGCUACUCAAAUACAGGCUUCACAUCGCACAUGAGCCCCAAUAGUCCGCUAUCGUCGGUCUCGAGUCCGGGUUCGGUUAAUUCAAAUCCCACCAGUCCGUAUGGAUCUCUACCGGAGACGCCGCCACCUGCUUACAGCCCACCUGAAGAUGCCAAUAGCAACAAUCCCCCGGAUGCAUCGAUGGACAUCCAAAUGGGUGAGGUGGCACCGGUGCGGUAUCAGGAGCCCCCAUUUUGGGCGAGUAUCGCCUAUUACGAGCUCAAUUGCCGAGUCGGGGAGGUUUUCCACUGCUUGGCACCCACCAAUCAAACAUCCCACUCCAUCAUUGUUGAUGGCUUUACAAAUCCAGCCAAUAAUUCCCAGCGUUUCUGCCUGGGGCAGCUCAGCAAUGUGAAUCGCAAUAGUACAAUUGAGAAUACCCGGCGUCACAUUGGUAAGGGGGUGCACCUAUGCUAUGUCGGUGGUGAAGUCUAUGCUGAAUGCCUUUCGGAUUCGGCGAUAUUUGUACAAAGUCGCAAUUGCAACCAUCACCAUGGCUUUCAUCCGAGUACAGUGUGCAAAAUCCCACCUGGAUGCUCACUGAAGAUUUUCAAUAAUCAAGAAUUCGCUCAACUACUCAGCCAAUCGGUCAAUCAUGGCUUCGAGGCGGUGUAUGAGCUCACGAAAAUGUGUACGAUUCGUAUGAGUUUCGUUAAGGGAUGGGGUGCAGAGUAUCACCGUCAGGAUGUCACCUCAACACCAUGUUGGAUUGAAAUUCAUCUCCAUGGGCCACUACAGUGGCUCGAUAAGGUUCUCACACAAAUGGGAUCGCCACAUAAUGCCAUAAGUUCAGUCUCUUAAACCCCCCCUCCUGGUAUGCGUGUAUUGUGUGAGAUAAACAGCAAAUUGAGGAGCAAGAGGAUUCUUGGAGAAAAAAUUCCCUAUAAUAUGGUUCGUUAGGAUUUUAUAAAAUAGUCAUGGAAAUGAAUUUAAAGUUGUUAAAUGAGUUGAAAGAAAAAGGACACAAAAAAGAGAAAUAGGAGUGUUUAAGGAUAUUCCUUCAGUUUUAAAAGUUUCUGUUUUAUUUGUCAUUGUUUUGUUAAUAAAAAAUGAAAAAAAAAGUUGAGCCAUGUACUUCUAUGCAAAAUUAUUAGGGUAAUCAUUAGCGUACACGUUUUUUGACACCUUUGUCUUGAGUUCGAGACUCAGAUGAGGGUGUUUGUUUUUACGACUUUUAAAUCAUUUUUCCGUUGAUUUUUAUUACCGAAUUAAAAUAAAACUUUUUCUAAGCCGAUAAAUGAUAAUAAAAAUCUUUAAAGAAAACAAAAAUAAAGAUUUGAAAAGAAAUUUCAAAUUAAAAAAAUAUUCAAUGACUAUUUUAUAAAAUUCUAGAGCCAAUUUUUGUUUUCUUCCCUCUAAAGAAAAGCCUAAAUGGUUUAUUUUGCGUUAUUCAAUGAAAAUUUUUAUGAUUAAAAAAAUUCUUUUAUCAAAUUAGUUUUUAAGAAGUUAAAAUAUUUUUUAAGUGGAAAAUGUGAAAUUAUAUUUUUUAGUUUACAAUUUACUUCGUUUAGUUUUAAAAGUUUGAAAAGAAGAAAAAUGAAACAUUGCAAAGAGAGCAGCUAACAAUGAUAAAUUCUCAUUUGGAGAAUAUUUUAAGGGAGUUAAUAUUGUGUAAAAAAAAAGUAUAAUAAAAAGUUUUCUUCGGUUUCGAGAUCAAUUUAGUAAAAGAUGAAAAAAUAUUUUUCAAAGUUCUAAAUAAAAGAUUAAAACAUUUUUCGUGUAAUAAUUCGUAAAGUAUUUGAAUUGUAACUUUAAGUGGAUGUUUAAGCUAAAAAUAAACAAUAGAAAAUACAAUUCAAAAAUAUUUCCAAUGCAAAAUUUAAACUUCCACUCAAAGUUCUCCAAAAUUCAAGUAUAAUUCUAGAAGAUUAACUUUUUCUCAUUUAACUAUUAACGUUCUUAAAUGAUAACAUCUCUAAGAAAAAAAAUGGAAAAAAUAUACUAUAAACUAAUUGUAAUAAAAAUAAUAAUCUUCUUUAUUAAUGAAAGAAAAAUUAAUCAUAAAAUGAAAGAAAUAUGGUUAAAAAAAAUACUCUCAACCCUUCAUCUUCCCUCAAUCCUUCUUUCCGUGGAUUUUAAAAGUAAAGAAAAUGAAUGAAAAGUGAAAGAGAAAUUCCUAUUUAAGUUUAAUGAAAGCAAAAAUAAUGUAACAUUAAUGUUUUUUUUCUAGGAGAAUUUUGCCUAAAUGUUUAUUGAAAGAAUUUAAAGAAUAAAAAACAAGCUUCGUGGAUUUUUGAUAAAAUGCUUUAUUGUGCAUAAUUUUUGCUUCAACUGUGCAAUUUUAAACGCUGCUUUUUUGAAGAAUAAAAUGAGAGUAUUUUGAUUGUGGAAAGAAAAUAAAUAAAUAUUAUUCUGUUGAUUGAUUGUGUGCUCUCCUAUUGGCCCCACAAUCAAUUUGGUGUGUCUUAAGAGAAAACAAAAAUAUUUUAUUGAAAAGAAGAAAAA